UACGUAGGGUGCAAGCGUUUAAUCGGAAUUACUGGGCGUAAAGCGUGCGCAGGCGGUUUUGUAAGUCUGUCGUGAAAGCCCCGGGCUCAACCUGGGAAUUGCGAUGGAGACUGCAAGGCUUGAAUCUGGCAGAGGGGGGGUAGAAUUCCACGUGUAGCAGUGAAAUGCGUAGAGAUGUGGAGGAACACCGAUGGCGAAGGCAGCCUCCUGGGCCAACACUGACGCUCAUGCACGAAAGCGUGGGGAGCAAACAGG
rnacentral:rRNA from 1 species